rnacentral:misc_RNA from 1 species
GGAGAAGCGAGGUAUCUCUGGAGGCCAACGGAAACGAGUGAAUGUGGGGCUAGAGUUGGUAAUGGAACCAUCACUUCUGUUUCUCGAUGAACCUACUUCUGGACUAGACAGUUCAUCUUCUCAAUUACUUCUAAGAGCACUUCGACGAGAAGCCCUUGAAGGAGUCAAUAUCUGCAUGGUUGUCCACCAGCCAAGCUACACCUUAUUCAACAUGUUUGAUGAUUUGAUACUCUUAGCAAAAGGUGGUCUUGUA